rnacentral:rRNA from 1 species
UACGUAGGGGGCAAGCGUUGUCCGGAUUUAUUGGGCGUAAAGAGCUCGUAGGCGGUUCCGUAAGUCGUGAAGUCAAAUCUCUGGGCUCAACCCAGAAUCGCUUCCGAUACUGCGGUGACUGGAGUCCGGUAGGGGAGUGUGGAAUUCCUGGUGUAGCGGUGAAAUGCGCAGAUAUCAGGAGGAACACCGGUGGCGAAGGCGGUUCUCUGGGCCUGUACUGACGCUGAGGAACGAAAACGUGGGGAGCGAACAGG